CAGAGUAAAAGAUGCACAGGGGAUGACCGAGGAAUUCGCAGACGUCUCGGAUUCGCUGGCGAUCCCUACUUCGGAAAGUGCACGCUCUGUUGCGCGUUCCUCUCUCGUUUUAUAGAAACGACCUGGCCAUGCAGGUUUCUCUCCGCAACAGGAACUUCAUAUAGUAGACAGAUGCUUUUACAAAUGCUUGCGCGUGGCUUCUAGUACUUUGAGGUCGUACGAGCUUGGAGAAGGCUGUUAUUCAAGGAAUAAGACGUUUACCCCAGAAGUUAACGCCUGACUUAUACGUUCUAUUAUCAAGUGAGAUGCACAGAUGGACAUAACUUAUUAUAAACGUGAGUGCUCGCAGGGGAGACUGAAACGCAACAAGAUUUGCAUGCUUGUGUUUGCUGUGAGUGAAGCCCCCCGUUGCUUCCUGGCGUUUGAGUGUGCUUCUCCGACAUUCCACAGAGGACGUUCUGCCUUCGUUAAUCUUGAUACACGGCGUUCAAAAUAAUUUUACCCUAUUUCCCCAGUCAUCACCGUCUCAACCAUACCCGGUAAAACAUUCGAAUGUGAAUCGGGUGAACAAAGAC
rnacentral:lncRNA from 1 species